rnacentral:rRNA from 1 species
UACAGAGGGGGCAAGCGUUGUUCGGAAUUACUGGGCGUAAAGGGCGCGUAGGCGGCGUGCUAAGUCGGAUGUGAAAUCCCCAGGCUUAACCUGGGAACUGCAUCCGAUACUGGAUGGCUUGAAUUCGGGAGAGGGAUGCAGAAUUCCAGGUGUAGCGGUGAAAUGCGUAGAUAUCUGGAGGAAUACCGGUGGCGAAGGCGGCAUCCUGGACCGAGAUUGACGCUGAUGAGCGAAAGCUAGGGGAGCAAACGGG